rnacentral:rRNA from 1 species
ACUCCUACGGGAGGCAGCAGUAGGGAAUCUUCCGCAAUGGACGAAAGUCUGACGGAGCAACGCCGCGUGAGUGAAGAAGGUCUUCGGAUCGUAAAGCUCUGUUGUUAGGGAAGAACAAGUACCGUUCGAAUAGGGCGGUACCUUGACGGUACCUAACCAGAAAGCCACGGCUAACUACGUGCCAGCAGCCGCGGUAAU